rnacentral:rRNA from 1 species
CGCGUAGGCGGUUUAUCAAGCUUGAUGUGAAAUACCCCGGCUUAACCGGGGGGACGCGUUGAGAACUGUUAGACUAGAGUAUAAGAGGGGGAGUUGGAAUUCCUAGUGUAGGGGUGAAAUCUGUAGAUAUUAGGAAGAACACCGGUGGCGAAGGCGAACUCCUGGCUAUAUACUGACGCUGAGGCGCGAAAGUGUGGGGAGCGAACAGGAUUAGAUACCCUGGUAGUCC